rnacentral:rRNA from 2 species
ACGGGAGGCAGCAGUGGGGGAUAUUGCACAAUGGGGGAAACCCUGAUGCAGCAACGCCGCGUGAGGGAAGAAGGUUUUCGGAUUGUAAACCUCUGUCCAAGGUGAAGAAAGAAAUGACGGUAGCCAUGGAGGAAGCUCCGGCUAACUACGUGCCAGCAGCCGCGGUAAUACGUAGGGAGCGAGCGUUGUCCGGAAUUACUGGGUGUAAAGGGUGAGUAGGCGGCCAAAUGGGUCAGGCGUGAAAAGCAAGAGCUUAACUCUUGGACUGCGCUUGAAACUAUAUGGCUUGAGUGAAGUAGAGGCAGGCGGAAUUCCCUGUGUAGCGGUGAAAUGCGUAGAGAUAGGGAGGAACACCAGUGGCGAAGGCGGCCUGCUGGGCUUAAACUGACGCUGAGGCACGAAAGCAUGGGUAGCAAACAGGAUUAGAUACCCUGGUA